rnacentral:rRNA from 1 species
UUAACACAUGCAAGUCGAACGCGAAAGUACCUUCGGGUGCGAGUAGAGUGGCGGACGGGUGAGUAACGCGUGGGAAUCUGCCUAGUAGUGGGGGAUAACAAUCGGAAACGGUUGCUAAUACCGCAUACGCCCUACGGGGGAAAGGCUUCGGCCGCUAUUAGAUGAGCCCGCGUAAGAUUAGCUUGUUGGUAGGGUAAUGGCCUACCAAGGCAACGAUCUUUAGCUGGUCUGAGAGGACGAUCAGCCACACUGGGACUGAGACACGGCCCAGACUCC